CAACUACUACAUGUAUGGCUCUGACAGCAGUAACACCCUGACUGUGUUGGCCAAACGUCCUGGCUCUGAGGAACAAAUGUGGCAAAAAACUGGGAUACAAAGCCCAUCAUGGCUUGGAGCCUCUGUCACAGUGCCCAUACCAGCUGGACAGACUGCUCAGAUUGUGUUUCAAGCAAUGCGUGGGUUCUCUUCAUCAUGUGACACUGCCCUGGAUAACAUUGUCAUCACCGAGGGAGCCUGUGCUGGCUGUAUAGCUGGGUGUGAUUUUGAUGAUACUGAUGAAUGUGGCUGGAC
rnacentral:lncRNA from 1 species